UGCCACAGCCAUAUCACCCUGCAGCCCAAGACUGGUUGCCCACUGAAGCUAAGCAGGGUUGAGCCUGGUCAAUACCUGGAUGGGAGACCUCCUGGGAAAACUAGGUUGCUGUUGGAA
rnacentral:rRNA from 1 species